rnacentral:rRNA from 1 species
AGUGAACGCUGGCGGUAGGCCUAACACAUGCAAGUCGAACGGCAGCACAGUAAGAGCUUGCUCUUACGGGUGGCGAGUGGCGGACGGGUGAGGAAUACAUCGGAAUCUACUCUUUCGUGGGGGAUAACGUAGGGAAACUUACGCUAAUACCGCAUACGACCUACGGGUGAAAGCAGGGGAUCUUCGGACCUUGCGCGAUUGAAUGAGCCGAUGUCGGAUUAGCUAGUUGGCGGGGUAAAGGCCCACCAAGGCGACGAUCCGUAGCUGGUCUGAGAGGAUGAUCAGCCACACGGGAACUGAGACACGGUCCAUACUCCUACGGGAGGCAGCAGUGGGGAAUAUUGGACAAUGGGCGCAAGCCUGAUCCAGUCAUACCGCGUGGGUGAAGAAGGCCUUCGGGUUGUAAAGCCCUUUUGUUGGGAAAGAAAAGCAGCAGGUUAAUACCCCGCUGUUCUGACGGUACCCAAAGAAUAAGCACCGGCUAACUUCGUG